rnacentral:rRNA from 1 species
AGUGAACGCUGGCGGUAGGCCUAACACAUGCAAGUCGAACGGCAGCACAGUAAGAGCUUGCUCUUACGGGUGGCGAGUGGCGGACGGGUGAGGAAUACAUCGGAAUCUACUUUUUCGUGGGGGAUAACGUAGGGAAACUUACGCUAAUACCGCAUACGACCUACGGGUGAAAGCAGGGGAUCUUCGGACCUUGCGCGAUUGAAUGAGCCGAUGUCGGAUUAGCUAGUUGGCGGGGUAAAGGCCCACCAAGGCGACGAUCCGUAGCUGGUCUGAGAGGAUGAUCAGCCACACUGGAACUGAGACACGGUCCAGACUCCUACGGGAGGCAGCAGUGGGGAAUAUUGGACAAUGGGCGCAAGCCUGAUCCAGCCAUACCGCGUGGGUGAAGAAGGCCUUCGGGUUGUAAAGCCCUUUUGUUGGGAAAGGAAAGCAGCAGGUUAAUACCCCGCUGUUCUGACGGUACCCAAAGAAUAAGCACCGGCUAACUUCG